rnacentral:rRNA from 1 species
GACGAACGCUGGCGGCGUGCUUAACACAUGCAAGUCGAACGGAAAGGCCCUGCUUUUGUGGGGUGCUCGAGUGGCGAACGGGUGAGUAACACGUGAGUAACCUGCCCUUGACUUUGGGAUAACUUCAGGAAACUGGGGCUAAUACCGGAUAGGAGCUCCUGCUGCAUGGUGGGGGUUGGAAAGUUUCGGCGGUUGGGGAUGGACUCGCGGCUUAUCAGCUUGUUGGUGGGGUAGUGGCUUACCAAGGCUUUGACGGGUAGCCGGCCUGAGAGGGUGACCGGCGACAUGAGGACUGAGAGACGGCCCAGACUCCUACGGGAGGCAGCAGUGGGGAAUAUUGCACAAUGGGCGGAAGCCUGAUGCAGCAACGCCGCGUGCGGGAUGACGGCCUUCGGGUGGUAAACCGCUUUCGCCUGUGACGAAGCGUGAGUGACGGUAAUGGGUAAAGAAGCACCGGCUAACUACGUG